GAUGAAGAACGUAGCGAAAUGCGAUAAGUAAUGUGAAUUACAGAAUUCAGUGAAUCAUCGAAUCUUUGAACGCACAUUGCGCCCGCCAGUAUUCUGGCGGGCAUGCCUGUUCGAGCGUCAUUUCAACCAUCAAGCCCCAGGCUUGUGUUGGAGCCCUGCGGCUGCCGCAGCCUCCCAAAACCAGUGGCGGGCUCGCUAUCACACCGAGUGCAGUAGUUUACUCUUCGCUCAGGGCGUGUGGCGGGUGCUAGCCGUAAAACCCCCAACUUCUCAAGGUUGACCUCGGAUCAGGUAGGAAUACCCGCUGAACUUAAGCAUAUCAAUAAGCGGAGGA
rnacentral:misc_RNA from 1 species